AAACAAGCAGAGUCCCUACAGAUGUACUGUGCCUGCUGGCUCAUCUUGUCAGCACUUACCAAGACAGUCUUGUCUUCCCCAGCCUUACUGUUUUUCUGGAUCUCAAAAGUCAGAGAUCCCUUCCUAUUACAUUGCUUUCUCUUGCCAUUGACUGUUUUGUUUGUACUUUGGUUUUCAGUAAAGUUGAAGAAUUAAAGAAAACGUUGCCAAGUACAGAAUGGUGUUAGGGAGAGGAUCCCUGUGUCCUCUUGCAGAGCAUCCCCUAUCUGUAGUGUCCUAAAUUAGUCUGAUACUUUUGUCAGAACCAAGAAACCAAUCUCAAUUCCAAACUGUUAACUAAACUCCAAACUUUAUUUGGAUUUUACCAUCUUUUCUAUAAUGUACUUUCUCUGUUUCAGGAUCCAGUCGAGGAUACCACAUUACAUUUAGUCAUCAUGUUUCGUUUGGUCUCCUCUGUGUAAAGAAUGUCAUUAGGAGUGAAGUGCCCUUCCUAUCUGAUCAUGUUUGGGGAUGAGGGAGGCGUGUGACAUCACUGUACAUCACUGGUGAUGAGUCUUUAUCACUAGGUAAAGUGGUUCUUUCCAGGUCUCUUCACUUCAGCAUGAGUGGUUUUCCCUUUGUAUUCUGUCUUCUUCCAUUCCCUGGCUGUCCCAGAACUUGCAUUGUAAACCAGGCUGGCCUCAAGCUAACAGAUAUCCCCCUGCCUCUGUCUCUUGAGUCCUGGGGUUAAAGCUGUGUGCUAUUAUGCCGGGUUUUACCUCUGACUUUUAAGCUCACUGACUGUAUUGAUAAGAAUUCAGCUGGAGACUGGUGGUGCACUGAGAUAUUUUAACUUAGGAAGAGGUUGUUAACUCAGCGCGCUGCAUGCCAUGGUCUGAUUUGAAGAAUGAUGCCUUUCUUUUGUCUUUUCAGGGGGUCUCAGGUCACUGUCCUUUUUGUAAUAGCUAGUGUUGGCAAUGGUGAGGUAUU